rnacentral:misc_RNA from 1 species
GAUGAAGAACGCAGCGAAAUGCGAUAAGUAAUGUGAAUUGCAGAAUUCAGUGAAUCACCGAAUCUUUGAACGCAUCUUGCGCUCCUUGGUAUUCUGAGGAGCAUGCCUGUUUGAGUGUCAUUAAAUUCUCAACUACACUGACUUUGAAUUGGUGUGGCUUGGAUUUGGGGGGAAAAUUGUUGUGGGCUUUUUGUAUAGUCUGCUCCCCUGAAAUUGAUUAGCGGUACCUUUGUGGAACUGUCUACAGGUGUGAUAAUUAUCUACAUCUUAGACAUCUGCUGGAAUGCUGCUUUCUAAACCUUACUUGUAUUGACAAUCUUGACCUCAAAUCAGGUAGGACUACCCGCUGAACUUAAGCAUAUCAAUAAGCGGAGGA